UUACAGGUUGCAAAGCAAGAGGUUCUCACCUCAAGAUUCAGUUUAAGACCAUCAUGAGGAUCACCACACCCAUGAUCAUGUUCAUGAUCCUGGUGUUUCUUCUGUCAGCAUAGUUUGUGAAGGGAACUUAGAACUUGAAAAGGCUAACGUAUGGCUUGGUACACUGUUGUUGAAACGAAGUGAGGACAUAUAUCGUAUGAAAGGUCUUCUAUCAGUUCAAGGAAUGAAAAAGAGAUUUGUCUUCCAGGGUUUAGGUGCUCUGAAAAUGCCCACCCUUAUUUUUUUUACACCAAGUGUAUAUGGCAACCCAGGCAUUCCAACUUGCUCAGGGAAAUACUUCAUUUAAGGAAAAGCCUGAAAUAAUGUUGUCAAGUGCUAUACUGAAGCUAUCAGAUUGAACAUGAUGUGUGCAACUUAGAUUGCAACCAUGCAAUUGCUUACUUGGAGUUUCUAAUUCACAAACUGAGUGAAGGUCACAAUAAGUAUUAGUCACUACGAGAGUGUUGGACUAUCCUCAUUCUGGAACCAGGUUUAAGAGGCCCCUGACAAUGACAUUGAAACGGUAUCAGUAGUUCCUCUCUUUUUAAUAGAGUGAUUCCCUUUCUUGGGCAUGUAAAAUCUUGGUGUCUGUAAAUAUACACAUCACAUGACUUUUAACACAAGUCUUGCUUCUAUCAUUUGAUGUUACAGUGGGUAAGCUCUGAAUUUAAUGAAUUGUUCAACUUUGAAUUUAAUGAAUUGUGGUGUUUUAUCUUCUGAAUUUCUAACCUAUUAAUAUUGGAAGACCUAAAAGAUUAUUCCAAUGUAUUGUUUCUGGAUUUAUUCAAAUUAGUAGUGAAAUGAU